rnacentral:tRNA from 1 species
GGCACUAUGGCCGAGUGGUUAAGGCGACAGACUCGAAAUCUGUUUUCUUCGGAAGCGCAGGUUCAAGUCCUGCUGGUGUCG